rnacentral:misc_RNA from 1 species
UUAACUAUUAUAUAGUACUCGGACGACACUGUAAAACAGGGUUUGGGGUUCUCUGGCGGGCGCGCACCAGCCGAAGCCGGUGGCCAAAAGGCGGCCCGCCAAAGCAACAAAGGCAAUGUAUACAAAGGGUGGGAGGUCUACCCCGAAGGGCAUGAACUCUGUAAUGAUCCUUCCGCAGGUUCACCUACGGAAA